rfam:Schistosoma rodhaini strain Burundi genome assembly, scaffold: SROB_scaffold0009160
AUCCGCCCGACGAGUCCUAAGUAGGGCGAAACUCGCGUCCUGGAU